AAAAAAAAAAAGUUAAACCGAGAAAGGGAAAUACCCUUGACGUGAUAAUUUUUAAUAACGGAUGUAAAAAAAAAAAUAAAAUUGUCAACACGACGUAUGCGAGACGAUUGAAAAAAAGAUUGUUCAAAAAAAAAAUAGUCAGUUCGCCGUAACUCUCCGUGACUUGUAAGGAUUUCCAGUACGUCGGCCGCGAUUACGAUGCAUGAGAAUUACUAAUGCAGAAUUCCGAAGUGGCAAAGCCCGACGUACACGGGGCGAAAUCGUAAACGCGUCGAAAAGAUCGUAAUUUACGGUACUCGGAAAAUAAAUCGACAAAAAAAGUUUUUUAUUCCCACGUUGUAAUUUGGAUAGAUCCAAGAAAUCGACCUCGGAUAAUUUAAAAUUUCUUAUUUUCUUCACUUCCUCCACGUACAAUUUGCCGAUCCACUCACCGAAGACGCGUAAUCGUCAAAGAGUUAUCGUCGUGCGACAGAAGCCGGCGGGAACUUUGAAUCGAGAGACUCAAAGCAUAAAAAUUAAAAAAAGAAACAGUAUAGUCCAAAAAUGACGUCACUUAUGCGAUAAAGAAUCAAAAGAAAAAAGGACAAAGUGAAAAAAUUCCAUUCUCGCAGAAUUCGAUAAACUGUUACGCAACAGCACAAACUGUACAUUAUUAUUAUAUCAGACAUGAAAGAUGGCUUCGAUCGUUAAAAAAUAAUCUUUCGACCGUUUCCAGAAUUAACUACUAGCCGAAAGAGAAACCCGAGAAAUCUAAAAGGAGAGAGUCAUCGUUUCCAGUAGGUUUCGAAAAAGAAUUAUAUCCAUUGUAGAUGCCCAGCUGACAGGUUAAACAUUAGGUUUCACGAGAAAAAAGCCGUAUUUUUAGAAUUAACAUGCGAGAGCAGUGGAUACAAUCAAGAGAGCCAACUAAGAAGACGGGAGAUAGGAGACGAAGAGAAAAACAUUAGGGGGGAGGGGGAAGUUUCAAGUGCGUUGCGUCACGUAUUUUUGAAUUCUACCAGUCCAACUUACAAGCGACGCCCGACGGCUGUUUGCGUAGACAAAGCCCAAGUUGGGUCGGCGCGGCUGCCAACAACGUUCUAGGUAAAAUUAUGCGUGUCCUUCGGUUCCCGUCAGUCACCGUGUUUGCCAAGCGGAGCGCAAUGUCGAGAAAAAGGUUUACGUCUAGUUUCCACGGUCAUCGGACCAUUCUCGAUAAGAGCACCGAUAAGGAACAACGACGACGACAACAGGCAUCGUCGUACGUACGUCGAGGAUUUAAGAAAAUCCAAUUGGAUGGAGUCGUAUUGUGGCAGCGAUGGAACCGGGGAAUUGGAGAUGGAUCUAGCUACCGAAGGGGGAAGCCAGACGUAUUUCCUGCCGAAGGCGCUAUGUCGUUCCCGUGGCCGGUGAGGGUUGCAAGUGAAAUAGACGGAAGUAGAUAACAAUGCUUUGAGAUCAUGCUCAAUAACAGCUAUGAAAUAGGAGCAAUCAUCGAAGGCUGUGGUAGAUUAAUUAUCGCGACAAGAUACCUCGGGACGUGAUGCGUACAGUUGCAGCUUUCUAACGUCGCCGAAGACCACGAGGAGGACUGUUAUAUGGAAUAGCUGUUAUAUGGAAGGACAGAGAAAAGAUUGGAGCAAGCUUUAUGAACGCGAUCCAGGAGCCACGUGGACGAUGUGAAAUACGAGUAAGGUCGUUCUUAAUGGCAAAAAAAAAAAUUGAUUUCAAUUCAGAUUUUCUCUUGAUUAGAAGAGAGCAGCGCCUGUCCGCAAGAAACUACACAACUACACACUUUCGAACGGCCACCUGAUGGGCGGGGCUUGCGGGAUGACGUUGGCCAAUCACCGUCUCUCUCUGGGAAGUGGUGGCUGCGCGAAACUGGAGUCCUCGCGCGGCCGAGAACAACGACAGACUGUCGGUUUUCUACCGACAAUUCUUCCGUUCGAUGUACGACUAGCGCGCUCUUACGGUCAAAGUCAUAACUAAUUGAACCCUCUAUAAACCAACGUAUAAAUCUGCCUGCCUUUCUGUCCGUCACAAUACGACGAACAAUGUUCAACUGUUUACAGGAUAAAUACAGUCAUAUUACUGUCAUAAACCAAUCUACGAUGACAGUCUUUCGAAUACUUUAUUUUGAUGCACUGCACACGUCAUCCGAAUUGAACUGAAAGAUCGUGUGAGGCAAACCCAUUACGUCUUCAUAUGUCGCGUAACACGCUUAUGUUGUCUAUGUCGUUUGUCUUGUACAACUGUAUCUCUUGUGGAUUAUUCAGCUAGUGGAAGCCCUGCUGCGGGUCAAAUCAGUACAUCUCGUAAUAUAAACGUGACAGAGAAUGGCGCUUCGUGCAACGUGAGAUGCGGCUCCGAAUUUUUUACUGCAGAUUCUCAUUGCGUGACCUUCGCACUUUGCAAACUGGUUCUCCUCGAGAAUGAUGUCCAUACGCGAACAAGCUUAACUUCCAAAUGACUGGCACAUCUCCUUGGAGGAAGCAGACAUAAGGAAAGGAAGGAACUUCCGAAUAAGGUCCGCAAGAUGUCUUUUCCGGAUUUACGAAUAUCAGCUGCACGUCAGUAGUGACGAUUCACGAUGUCCAUACGAUGUAUUUUUAACGUCCCAUAGUCCUACGGGACGUUGCACGAUUAAUCGACGGACUUUGACUUAAGAGUCAUAAUAAAUCUUAUUUCGUGAAAGUACAUUUUGAAAACAAUUAAAACGAUAUUAUCUCUAACGGUAUUAAUACUUCUGUGCACCAUUGUAUUCCUGGCACAUAAAUAAUUGGUUAUAAAAAAAAGAUCGUAAUGAUAAAAAUAAUAAAUAGGGAUUUUGUUCGUGGAUUAAUUUGUUCACAUAGUAAAUCAGCCUUGAUUAUAGUCAUUGUGCUUUAGAAAUGUAUUUUCGUUCGAUAAUACACAAUAAAACUUAUCGGUAAUGAACGGCAACUAUACUGUAAUCGUUUAUCCUUUUUUUUUACCGUAUACGUACAGUAAUUAUAACAGGAAUGGCAAUAAUAACGAUAACGAGAAAAGUAAUGCCGACGAUUAACCAUGAUCAUAAUGGACAAUUUAUCGUUAUACGUAUACGCAAUGUCAAUGCAGCUCGACACGUAAUUUUGGGCCUCGUCUCUCGCUUGCCGUACUUUAGUUUAUACUUAAUAAAAUUCGUAAUGAUGAAGAUUAGUACAUAAUUUCACUUAAUUUACUUACGCAAUGUAGUAUUUUGUACAUUUCAACAAAUCGAAUAUUCUUAACGAACGCAAUGCUCUCUC